UUACAAAUUUGUAAAAUGAAUGCCCAACAGGAAAAAAUAUUAAAUGAUAAAAUUAAUUGGAUCCUACAAGUGAAAAUCUAGGCAAGGAAAAUCUUCCUUCUUAAUGAAUGAUUUUUACGUCUCUUCAUUCUUGUCCUUCUAGGUAGAGCAACACUCUGGAGACCUUCUUUUGAGGCAUUUCACCACCAGAGAAUGAUGUUGGAACCAAUGUUGGUAAUUUUGAAAGUCAUGGAGAGGAUUUCAGAUGAUAGAAGUCGGGCAACUAUCCCAGGUUUAAUAAAUAAGUAAAUUGUGAGUUCCAAAAAUGCUGUAUCAAUGAGCCUCAUAUUGAUCCUGAGCACAAUUUCAGGAAGGUCCAUUAAAUGGGUCUUUGGAGAGCACUUAGGAUAAAAGGCUGGCAGCAGGGAUUCACUAAGAGCAAUGGUGCCAAGCUUGUCUCUUUAGCAUUGUUAUGUGACUGAUAAAGGUAGGCUAUAGCGAUACACAAUACAGAUAUUUCCAGGGUAAAGCUGUCGAGCUGCUGUAAUUUUCCUUGCCUCUUCACUAUCUUCUCCUAUAGUUGACUCCCAAGGAAAAGAUAGUUGACUUUUAAUCUAGAAAUGUAUGUUAAUUAGCAAAAACAAACAAAUGAAACCAUAAACUAUCCUUUAGGCUUCUCUCUGCUCAGUUAUUAGAUCAUAUGAAUGUGCCCUUAGGAAACACAGAAGACCCACACUACUAUAGAGACAAAUUUCUUACAUUCUCUGCUGUUUAAUGCUCUUCAAAAGACUUACCAUACUUCACUAAUUUGAUUACCAACUACUUGAACACAGGGACCAAUGUGCUUAUUAAAAAUUUUGCAUAUUAUGAGGGCAUUAACUUUUAAGUAUUCGAUUGUUAAGACAAUGCAUAUUAUUAUAAACCAUAGAAGGCACACUUAUUACCUCCUUAAGAACCAGUCUCUAUUUCUCUGGUUCAUAGAUCUCCAAGGUCAUAGAGGGAUUUUACAUUUGUGUCUUCAAUUGGCCCUCUUCAGCCCUAGGAUAAAUAGUGAUUAAUCUAAGCCAAUGGUUUUCAGCUCUGUCUGACCCAAUGCCUCUACUUCACAAGAAACUCUUCAAAGACCCCUUCGCUAUUCUAAACUAUUAGUGAGAACACAAUGUAUGCAUUCAAGUUGUUGAAAAUAUUAAUGUUAUGCUGAAGCUAACAAAGGAGAAAUAAUUUACUGUCAAUAUAUAAUCCAAAAUGUAUAUAAUUGUGCCAGAACAUUUACAUAUCAAAUACAAUAGAACAUAAUGAAAUUUUCAUAUCUUCACCAAUACUUUGAUACAUUGUAAAUAAAAAGCUACAGAUAUAGUUUCAUUGAAUAACCAAAUGCCAAAACUGCCAUUUCUAUUGUUGACAUGAUUGAUCUGCAUUGGUAAAUGUAAUAGAUACUUUCUGUUUGGCCCUUGUCCCCUGUUAUACUCCCCUAUUUACUGGCUUUUGUCCAAGUGGAAUGGUCCAUAUUGAAUAUCUCAAUCGGUUCCCUUGCUCAUUGCCUUCUAUGCAUGUUCAUGAGAUUAAAGGGAAGGAGGUAAUGGGAUUGGGGGUUAUUGCCUAAACUCCCUCUCUGCUAGGUCUCCUUGACCAAUCUUUUUCAUAAGAAAAUUAGUGUUUCCUUGUGUGAUCAGGGCAGUUUACUCUCAAGAACUCUGCCUGCUGCUACUAACCCAGAGUUAUUGUGGGGUGUGAUUUCUGUGAUUCCUUCACCCUUCUCCCCUGACAUUUUCGUAAGUAGUCUCUUUGGAAAUAAACCCAUGUUAAAUUAUCUUAGUUUGUGUGUGUUCUAUUUUUCCUAUUGAGACUCUGAAAUGAGUAUCUAAAUGAAAAAAUCUACCGUCUU
rnacentral:lncRNA from 10 species